AUUGAACGCUGGCGGCAUACUUAACACAUGCAAGUCGAACGGCAGCACAGUGUGUAGCAAUACACAUGGGUGGCGAGUGGCGGACGGGUGAGUAACGCGUAGGAAUCUGCCUUGAAGCGGGGGACAACCCGAGGAAACUCGGGCUAAUACCGCAUAAUAUCGAGAGAUUAAAGCUGGGGCAACCUGGCACUUCAAGAGGAGCCUGCGUCCGAUUAGCUAGUUGGUAGGGUAAAAGCCUACCAAGGCGAUGAUCGGUAGCUGGUCUGAGAGGAUGAUCAGCCACACUGGGACUGAGACACGGCCCAGACUCCUACGGGAGGCAGCAGUGGGGAAUAUUGGACAAUGGGGGCAACCCUGAUCCAGCAAUGCCGCGUGUGUGAAGAAGGCCUUCGGGUUGUAAAGCACUUUUGGCAGGGAGGAAGGUGUAGAGUUUAAGAGACACUACAUUUGACUGUACCUGCAGAAUAAGCACCGGCUAACUCUGUGCCAGCAGCCGCCGUAA
rnacentral:rRNA from 1 species